rnacentral:lncRNA from 1 species
GGUUCCAUUUUGGAAAGAGAAUUCACCCAAGCACUCGUCUCCAUCCCUGAUGCCUUGCUGAUAACCGAAAGCUUGAGGAGAUCGAAACAUCUGUCCAAGGGGAUGCUUCAUAUAAGCUUAUCAUGAUUUGGAUGGCAAUCACAAGUGAGUAACAUAUGCAUAGAAUCGCACUAGAAUAUACUAAAUCACAGAAACAGAGAAGACAAAUGCUGCUUUUCUCAUGUUGUAUAGCAGAUUCACAGCUGACUCCAUGCACUUACACCAGAAGAGAGGAGAACGGGCGAGUCGAGGAGCGCAGCUGGGCUGAACCCCGCCGGAAUGGCAAAGUAGGAGGAGGAAGGAGAGAUGGGCAGUGACGGCGGAGCGAUGAACUUGAACUUGGGAAGGUCAGUUCCAUCACCC